rnacentral:rRNA from 1 species
CACGUAGGGCGCGAGCGUUGUCCGGAAUUAUUGGGCGUAAAGAGCUCGUAGGCGGCCUGUUGCGUCCGUUGUGAAAGCCCGGGGCUUAACCCCGGGUCGGCAGUGGAUACGGGCAGGCUAGAGGUAGGUAGGGGAGAAUGGAAUUCCCGGUGUAGCGGUGAAAUGCGCAGAUAUCGGGAGGAACACCGGUGGCGAAGGCGGUUCUCUGGGCCUUACCUGACGCUGAGGAGCGAAAGCGUGGGGAGCGAACAGG